UCUGCUUUUUACAUUUUUUUAUUGAACUGCAAAUUUUUUUAUUUUUUUUUUAGUAAAAAAAUAUGCCUAAGAACAUUUCAUAAAAAAAUAAAAAAAAACUGAGGCCAAGAAGGCACAAUCCAAAAGGUGAGUUUUCACAUUUUGGACUAUUUUGACAUUUUUUUUUUUAGUUUGUAUUUUUCAGAAGCAAGUCCCCAUAGAAACUUUAUCUGAGGAAGAGGCUGAGGAUUUAACCCAAGUUGACUCUGAAGUUGGCUCAAGUUGGGCUACAAGCCCAUGUAAACAAACUGUGCCUAAGAAAAAUAUUCAAAAAACAAAUGAGCCCAAGAUGUCCAAAUAAAAAAAGGGGAGUUUUCACUUUUUUGACUGUUCUGACAAUUUUUACUGGCAAUGAUUUCUUAUUUUUUUUUAUUUUUUUGCAGAAGCAGAUGCCCGUAGAAUCCUCAUCAGAGGAGGUGGAGAAUACUGUGUCAGAAGUUGGAUCAAGACGAGCAACAAGCCCAAGUUCGGAAGAGUUUUCCAUAAGCAAACAGGACUUGGUAUCAAAGGAGGAUAGUGUCCCGCAUGUGUCGGCCCCCCAGGACUCCCAGAAUAGAUCUCCCAAAGAGCCUCAACCACGUACCCCGCCUUGGCCAACAAGGGGAAAGAGGCGGCAGGAAUCAUGGCAGAGGACGUGGUCGUGUGAGUAUGUAUUAAAUAGAUAUUCUUGUUUUAAGUGUACUUUGGAAGUCAGUUGCCCAUAGCAACUGAUCACAUUGCUUCUUGAUUCUUUUGCUUGUUUCCUUAAAGCUUUAAAGAGCCAAUGUGAUUGCUUGUGUAGUCAACUGAAUACACUACAGUGUUUGCAAAACUAUUAACAGAAUCUUUCAAGUUUCAGGGUGGUGCAGGUGCUGGUCGGGUGCACAUCGAAGGGGGCAGGACGAGCUGGAGAUCAUAAUAGACACUGAUCUAAUUGCGAUGGUCGAGGCGCGUCCUGCUCUGUGGGAUUCGUCCGACCCACAACACACCAAGUGGCAAUAUUAGCAGACUCUUUGGAUGGGGAUGUAUCGUGCCAUCUGCACCAACUGGGAAUACCUGUCAUCUAAUGAAAGAUGGAGUGUCUAUUAAAGCACAAUGCCAUGUCUGGAAGACUUGAGCAGAAGAGUUGUAUGAAAGCCACUGAACAUCAAAGAAAAAAUAUUAAACAGCUGACACUCAUUUUGCAUCAUUUCAGAUCUGUAUCACACUAAAUAAAUUACCCCACAUGGGAAUUUGCCAUGUUUCUGUAUUUGAAAGUAAAGCAGAGAAGAGAUCAAAAUCAGGCCAUGUCGUCUAUGUGUCUGUCUGGCAGUCGGUGAUUGUAAUUAACCAUAUGCUUACUAUGUGUCUAUAAAUAUAUAGCUGAACUGAGAUUUUGGUCCAAUGUCUAAAAUAUAUAGAACAACGUAGACCAGACUGUGCUCACGUUUGUGAAAUUCAGUGAAAUAUUUUUCUAGUGUCUAGGUAUAUCUGUCCUUGUCUUAAAUUAUAUAUAUAUAUAAAUGUGUCGAAUAUGUGAAAUUUUACUACAGAAAAUGUUCCUUUUGUCCUGUUCCCUUGCCAAUCAUAUAACCAUAUAUGUUUAAACAUAGAAAGACUCGCUCCCAGCAUAAAGCAUAAGUGUUAAGUAAAACAUAAAACAAAAUACAAUUCUUAGAAAUAAUAACCAUUUCCUAUUAUACUAUAGGUGCUAAAUGUUUUUAAAUAGUGGCCUCAAGCAGUGAAUUAAGACCUAGGUUUUAAUUUGUUCCAAUUAAAGUUACAGUUCUGGUUGUAAGAGAAAUAAAUGAAAAUUAUUAAUAAAAAUAAAAGAUGUAUUCUUGUUUA